rnacentral:rRNA from 1 species
GUGCCAGCGCGGUAAUACGGGGGGGGCAAGCGUUGUUCGGAAUUACUGGGCGUAAAGGGCUCGUAGGUGGCCAACUAAGUCAGACGUGAAAUCCCUCGGCUUAACCGGGGAACUGCGUCUGAUACUGGAUGGCUUGAGUUUGGGAGAGGGAUGCGGAAUUCCAGGUGUAGCGGUGAAAUGCGUAGAUAUCUGGAGGAACACCGGUGGCGAAAGGCGGCAUCCUGGACCAACAC